rnacentral:rRNA from 1 species
UACGUAGGGUGCGAGCGUUGUCCGGAAUUACUGGGCGUAAAGAGCUCGUAGGUGGUUUGUCGCGUCGGCCGUGAAAACCCGGGGCUCAACCCCGGGCCUGCAGUCGAUACGGGCAGACUAGAGUGUGGUAGGGGAGACUGGAAUUCCUGGUGUGGCGGUGAAAUGCGCAGAUAUCAGGAGGAACACCGGUGGCGAAGGCGGGUCUCUGGGCCGAUACUGACGCUGAGGAGCGAAAGCGUGGGGAGUGAACGG